GACGAACGCUGGCGGCGUGCUUAACACAUGCAAGUCGAACGAAGUGGCGAACGGGUGAGUAACGCGUAAUCAACCUGCCCUUCAGAGGGGGACAAAAGUUGGAAACGACUUCUAAUACCGCAUACUGAAGGAGGGGAAUGCGUCUGAUUAGCUAGUUGGUGGGGUAACGGCCCACCAAGGCGAUGAUCGGUAGCCGGUCUGUGUGGAGUAACGGCAAAAUUGGGAAUGGAGCAAGGCCCCGACUGCUACGGGGGGGAGCAGUGGGGAAACUUCCGGAAUGGACGGAAGUCUGACGGGGCAACGGCGCAGGGGUGAUGGCGGCCUUCGGGUUGUUAAGCUUUGUGUGUCAGGGCGCGGUACCGGAAUAGAAAGCCACGGCUAACUACGUGCCAGCAGCCGCGGUAAUAC
rnacentral:rRNA from 1 species